UACAGAGGGGGCAAGCGUUGUUCGGAAUUACUGGGCGUAAAGCGCACGUAGGCGGAUAUUUAAGUCAGGGGUGAAAUCCCGGGGCUCAACCCCGGAACUGCCUUUGAUACUGGGUAUCUCGAGUCCGAGAGAGGUGAGUGGAAUUCCGAGUGUAGAGGUGAAAUUCGUAGAUAUUCGGAGGAACACCAGUGGCGAAGGCGGCUCACUGGCUCGGUACUGACGCUGAGGUGCGAAAGCGUGGGGAGCAAACAGG
rnacentral:rRNA from 1 species